UGGCAACCUGCCUCGACGCUCUCUGGGAAAUCCAAAUGUCAAUGAGCACAUAUUGGAAAUGUGCAAAUAUUAGAGGAGGGGGACCAGAGCGCACAGCCAGGCUGAUACCCCAAAGACAGCUGAUCAGAGACACAACCUUCCGUCAACUCUGACCUCCGGUCCGUCACUGAAAGAUGUCCGUGUGCAACAUAAACAACAAUAACAGUUCCUGUUGGUUCACGAAGGAGAAGCAGCCUGGAGGUAACACCAACACAAGUCAGCUCCCAAGAGGUCAAGAACGGGCGGAUGCAACCGGUCCGGGAAAACACCGCGGAAAUCCCGCUUCGGAUUCACAAAGAAAUGUAAGAGGAGGCGUCAAAAGUGGGAUAUCUUCAAGAGCCAAUCCUCCUGGGAUGGAGAUGUUGCCAAGUGAAAGCAGAUGUGGAGAAGCACGGAGGGAGUCGAGGGUGUUAAUCCUGAGCUGGGCAGGUAGCCAUUUUUAGCAUCUGUCAGUCACUUUUUUCAAUGGACCACGCCUCACCAGUACGUGUCACUUGCCACAGCUGUGACUAAAGGCUUCUAAUGUACUCUAAUACUGUGGAACCUCGAUUUGCGAACCUCAUUGGUUCCUAAACAUGGCUGGUAAACCAAAAAGUUCAUAUUGUUAAGAAGAGUUCCCCAUAAGAAACAAUGUGAACAUGAAUAAUUAAUUCUAGUCUCAGCAUAAGUCCCGAUUUUAGUAAAAAUAAA